GACGAACGCUGGCGGCGUGCCUAAUACAUGCAAGUCGAGCGAAUCUUUAGGAGCUUGCUCCUAAAGAUUAGCGGCGGACGGGUGAGUAACACGUGGGCAACCUGCCUGUAAGACUGGGAUAACUUCGGGAAACCGAGGCUAAUACCGGAUAAUCCUUUUCCUCACAUGAGGGAAAGCUGAAAGACGGCGUAAGCUGUCACUUACAGAUGGGCCCGCGGCGCAUUAGCUAGUUGGUGAGGUAACGGCUCACCAAGGCGACGAUGCGUAGCCGACCUGAGAGGGUGAUCGGCCACACUGGGACUGAGACACGGCCCAGACUCCUACGGGAGGCUG
rnacentral:rRNA from 1 species